CAGGGAUAACCCCGGAAAACUGGGGAUAAUAUCUGAUAGGUGGAGAAGUCUGGAACGACUCUCCGCUCAAAUGCUCCGGCGCCUGAGGAUGAGCCUGCGACCGAUUAGGUUGUUGGCGGUGUAACGGACCACCAAGCCUGAGAUCGGUACGGGUGUUGAGAGACAGAGCCCGGAGAUGGGGACUGAGACACGGCCCCAGGCCCUACGGGGCGCAGCAGGCGCGAAAACUCCGCAAUACACGAAAGUGUGACGGGGGAACCCCAAGUGCGCUCACGCAAGUGAGUGCUUUUGUGAAGUGUAAAUAGCUUCGCGAAUAAAAGCGGGGUAAGACCGGUGCCAGCCGCCGCGGUAACACCGGCCGCUUGAGUGGUGAUCACUAUUAUUGGGCCUAAAGCGUCCGUAGCCGGUUUGGUAAGUCCUUGGGCAAAUCCUGUCGCUUAACGAUAGGAAUUCUGAGGAUACUGUCAGACUUGAGGUCGAGAGAGGUCGGAGGUACUCCUGGGGUAGCGGUGAAAUGCUAUAAUCCUGGGGGGACCACCAGUGGCGAAAGCGUCCGACCAGAGCGAGCCUGACGGUAAGGGACGAAAGCCAGGGGAGCGAACGGGAUUAGAUACCCCGGUAGUCCUGGCCGUAAACGCUGUGGGGCUAGGUGUUGCAUG
rnacentral:rRNA from 1 species